GAUGAACGCUGGCGGCGUGCCUAAUACAUGCAAGUCGAGCGAACGGACGAGAAGCUUGCUUCUCUGAUGUUAGCGGCGGACGGGUGAGUAACACGUGGAUAACCUACCUAUAAGACUGGGAUAACUUCGGGAAACCGGAGCUAAUACCGGAUAAUAUUUUGAACCGCAUGGUUCAAAAGUGAAAGACGGUCUUGCUGUCACUUAUAGAUGGAUCCGCGCUGCAUUAGCUAGUUGGUAAGGUAACGGCUUACCAAGGCAACGAUGCAUAGCCGACCUGAGAGGGUGAUCGGCCACACUGGAACUGAGACACGGUCCAGACUCCUACGGGAGGCAGCAGUAGGGAAUCUUCCGCAAUGGGCGAAAGCCUGACGGAGCAACGCCGCGUGAGUGAUGAAGGUCUUCGGAUCGUAAAACUCUGUUAUUAGGGAAGAACAUGUGUGUAAGUAACUGUGCACAUCUUGACGGUACCUAAUCAGAAAGCCACGGCUAACUACGUG
rnacentral:rRNA from 1 species